UUUAUGGAGGGUUUGAUCUUGGCUCAGAACGAACGCUGGCGGCGUGGAUUAGGCAUGCAAGUCGAGCGAGGACCGAGGCCGAAAGGCCUUGGAGCCGAGCGGCGAAAGGGUGAGUAAUACAUAGAUAACCUACCUUUGGGAGGGGGAUAACGGCGUCCGCAAGGACUUUAGCGAAAGUGCCGCUAAUACCCCAUAAAGCUGCAGGUUGCAUAACUAUGCAGCCAAAAGGUGGCGCGAAGGCGCUUCUGCCCAGAGAGGGGUCUGUGUCCUAUCAGCUAGUUGGUGAGGUAAAGGCCCACCAAGGCGAUGACGGGUAGCCGGCCUGAGAGGGUGGUCGGCCACAUUGGGACUGAGACACUGCCCAGACUCCUACGGGAGGCUGCAGUCGAGGAUCUUUCGCAAUGCCCGAAAGGGUGACGAAGCGACGCCGCGUGGGGGAAGAAGGCCUUCGGGUUGUAAACCCCUGUCAGGAGUUAGGAAGUGCAGGGCGUGAAUAGCGUCCUGCUUGACUAAGGCUCAAGAGGAAGUCAUGGCUAACUCUGUGCCAGCAGCCGCGGUAAUACAGAGAUGGCAAGCGUUGUUCGGAAUCACUGGGCGUAAAGGGCACGUAGGCGGUCUAGCAAGUCGGGUGUGAAAGCCCCUGGCUCAAACAGGGAACUGCGCCCGAAACUACAAGACUUGAGGAUGGAAGGGGAGAGUGGAACUUCUGGUGGAGCGGUGAAAUGCGUAGAUAUCAGAAGGAACGCCGGUGGCGAAAGCGACUCUCUGGUCUAUCCCUGACGCUGAGGUGCGAAAGCUAGGGGAGCAAACGGGAUUAGAUACCCCGGUAGUCCUAGCCGUAAACGAUGAACACUAAGUAGAGGGACCGCGAGGUUUCUCUGCCGCAGCUAACGCAUUAAGUGUUCCGCCUGGGGAGUACGGUCGCAAGACUAAAACUCAAAAGAAUUGACGGGGGCUCGCACAAGCGGU
rnacentral:ncRNA from 1 species